GGCCCCCACUUCUUACGGGGAGGGAAUAAGGCAUGCAAGUUGUGUCUCAAAACUAUGUGAAGACACGGCGGACCGCUCAGUAACAAGGUGGUAACCCGCCCUCGGGGACGGGGAUAACCCGGGAAACUUGGGUAAAUACCCGAUAGGUGAGAAAGUCUGGAAAGGUUUCUCACCCAAAAGUUGCGGGAACCAUGCUUCCAGCAGCGCACGAGGAUGGGGGCUGCGGCCGAUCAGGUAGUUGGUGAGGUAACGGCUCACCAAGCCUAUAACCGGUACGGGCCGUGAGAGCGGGAGCCAGGAGAUGGGCACUGAGACAAGGGCCCAGGCCCUACGGGGCGCAGCAGCUACGAAAAACUCCGCAAUGCGCGCAAGCGCGACGGGGCUACCCCGAGUGCUGUCCGCUGAGGAUAGCUUUUCUCUGGUGUAAUGAGCCGGAGGAAUAAGGGGAGGGCAAGCCUGGUGUCAGCCGCCGCGGUAACACCAGCUCCCCGAGUGGUGGGGAUGAUUAUUGGGCCUAAAGCGUCCGUAGCCGGCUCGGCAAGUCUUCCGUUAAAUCCAACGAUCUAAUCGUUGGACUGCGGGAGAUACUGCGGAGCCAGGGGGCGGGAGAAGCCGACGGUACUCGUGGGGUAGGGGUGAAAUCCUAUAAUCCUAGGAGGACCACCAGUGGCGAAGGCGGUCGGCUAGAACGCGCCCGACGGUGAGGGACGAAAGCUGGGGGAGCGAUCCGGAUUAGAUACCCGGGUAGUCCCAGCUGUAAACGAUGCAGGCUAGGUGUUGGAGUGACCACGAGUCACACCGGUGCCGCAGGGAAGCCGUUAAGCCUGCCGCCUGGGAAGUACGGUCGCAAGACUGAAACUUAA
rnacentral:rRNA from 1 species